GGUUAAGCGACUAAGCGUACACGGUGGAUGCCCUGGCAGUCAGAGGCGAUGAAGGACGUGCUAAUCUGCGAAAAGCGUCGGUAAGGUGAUAUGAACCGUUAUAACCGGCGAUGUCCGAAUGGGGAAACCCAGUGCAAUUCGUUGCACUAUCGUUAACUGAAUACAUAGGUUAACGAGGCGAACCGGGGGAACUGAAACAUCUAAGUACCCCGAGGAAAAGAAAUCAACCGAGAUUCCCCCAGUAGCGGCGAGCGAACGGGGAGCAGCCCAGAGUCUGAAUCAGCUUGUGUGUUAGUGGAACGGUCUGGAAAGUCCGACGGUACAGGGUGAUAGUCCCGUACACCAAAAUGCACAGGCUGUGAACUCGAAGAGUAGGGCGGGACACGUGGUAUCCUGUCUGAAUAUGGGGGGACCAUCCUCCAAGGCUAAAUACUCCUGACUGACCGAUAGUGAACCAGUACCGUGAGGGAAAGGCGAAAAGAACCCCGGCGAGGGGAGUGAAAAAGAACCUGAAACCGUGUACGUACAAGCAGUGGGAGCACCUUCGGGUGUGACUGCGUACCUUUUGUAUAAUGGGUCAGCGACUUAUAUUCUGUAGCAAGGUUAACCGUAUAGGGGAGCCGCAGGGAAACCGAGUCUUAACUGGGCGUUAAGUUGCAGGGUAUAGACCCGAAACCCGGUGAUCUAGCCAUGGGCAGGUUGAAGGUUGGGUAACACUAACUGGAGGACCGAACCGACUAAUGUUGAAAAAUUAGCGGAUGACUUGUGGCUGGGGGUGAAAGGCCAAUCAAACCGGGAGAUAGCUGGUUCUCCCCGAAAGCUAUUUAGGUAGCGCCUCGUGAACUCAUCUUCGGGGGUAGAGCACUGUUUCGGCUAGGGGGUCAUCCCGACUUACCAACCCGAUGCAAACUACGAAUACCGAAGAAUGUUAUCACGGGAGACACACGGCGGGUGCUAACGUCCGUCGUGAAGAGGGAAACAACCCAGACCGCCAGCUAAGGUCCCAAAGUCAUGGUUAAGUGGGAAACGAUGUGGGAAGGCACAGACAGCCAGGAUGUUGGCUUAGAAGCAGCCAUCAUUUAAAGAAAGCGUAAUAGCUCACUGGUCGAGUCGGCCUGCGCGGAAGAUGUAACGGGGCUAAACCAUGCACCGAAGCUGCGGCAGCGACACUAUGUGUUGUUGGGUAGGGGAGCGUUCUGUAAGCCUGCGAAGGUGUGCUGUGAGGCAUGCUGGAGGUAUCAGAAGUGCGAAUGCUGACAUAAGUAACGAUAAAGCGGGUGAAAAGCCCGCUCGCCGGAAGACCAAGGGUUCCUGUCCAACGUUAAUCGGGGCAGGGUGAGUCGACCCCUAAGGCGAGGCCGAAAGGCGUAGUCGAUGGGAAACAGGUUAAUAUUCCUGUACUUGGUGUUACUGCGAAGGGGGGACGGAGAAGGCUAUGUUAGCCGGGCGACGGUUGUCCCGGUUUAAGCAUGUAGGCUGGUUAUCCAGGCAAAUCCGGAUAAUCAAGGCUGAGGUGUGAUGACGAGGCACUACGGUGCUGAAGUAACAAAUGCCCUGCUUCCAGGAAAAGCCUCUAAGCAUCAGGUAACAUCAAAUCGUACCCCAAACCGACACAGGUGGUCAGGUAGAGAAUACCAAGGCGCUUGAGAGAACUCGGGUGAAGGAACUAGGCAAAAUGGUGCCGUAACUUCGGGAGAAGGCACGCUGGUGUGUAGGUGAAGCCCCUGCGGGUGGAGCUGAGACCAGUCGAAGAUACCAGCUGGCUGCAACUGUUUAUUAAAAACACAGCACUGUGCAAACACGAAAGUGGACGUAUACGGUGUGACGCCUGCCCGGUGCCGGAAGGUUAAUUGAUGGGGUUAUCCGUAAGGAGAAGCUCUUGAUCGAAGCCCCGGUAAACGGCGGCCGUAACUAUAACGGUCCUAAGGUAGCGAAAUUCCUUGUCGGGUAAGUUCCGACCUGCACGAAUGGCGUAAUGAUGGCCAGGCUGUCUCCACCCGAGACUCAGUGAAAUUGAACUCGCUGUGAAGAUGCAGUGUACCCGCGGCAAGACGGAAAGACCCCGUGAACCUUUACUAUAGCUUGACACUGAACAUUGAGCCUUGAUGUGUAGGAUAGGUGGGAGGCUUUGAAGCGUGGACGCCAGUCUGCGUGGAGCCAACCUUGAAAUACCACCCUUUAAUGUUUGAUGUUCUAACGUUGGCCCCUUACCGGGGUUGCGGACAGUGUCUGGUGGGUAGUUUGACUGGGGCGGUCUCCUCCCAAAGCGUAACGGAGGAGCACGAAGGUUAGCUAAUCCUGGUCGGACAUCAGGAGGUUAGUGCAAUGGCAUAAGCUAGCUUGACUGCGAGCGUGACGGCGCGAGCAGGUGCGAAAGCAGGUCAUAGUGAUCCGGUGGUUCUGAAUGGAAGGGCCAUCGCUCAACGGAUAAAAGGUACUCCGGGGAUAACAGGCUGAUACCGCCCAAGAGUUCAUAUCGACGGCGGUGUUUGGCACCUCGAUGUCGGCUCAUCACAUCCUGGGGCUGAAGUAGGUCCCAAGGGUAUGGCUGUUCGCCAUUUAAAGUGGUACGCGAGCUGGGUUUAGAACGUCGUGAGACAGUUCGGUCCCUAUCUGCCGUGGGCGCUGGAGAAUUGAGGGGGGCUGCUCCUAGUACGAGAGGACCGGAGUGGACGCAUCACUGGUGUUCGGGUUGUCAUGCCAAUGGCACUGCCCGGUAGCUAAAUGCGGAAGAGAUAAGUGCUGAAAGCAUCUAAGCACGAAACUUGCCCCGAGAUGAGUUCUCCCUGAGACUUUAAGUCUCCUGAAGGAACGUUGAAGACGACGACGUUGAUAGGCCGGGUGUGUAAGCGCAGCGAUGCGUUGAGCUAACCGGUACUAAUGAACCGUGAGGCUUAACCUUACAACGCCGAAGAUGUUUUG
rnacentral:rRNA from 1 species